rnacentral:rRNA from 1 species
UAGUCCACACCGUAAACGCUGUCUACUAGCUGUUUGUGUAUUAUAUACGUGAGUAGCGAAGCUAACGCGCUAAGUAGACCGCCUGGGGAGUACGGCCGCAAGGUUAAAACUCAAAUGAAUUGACGGGGGCCCGCACAAGCGGUGGAGCAUGUGGUUUAAUUCGAUGCAACGCGAAGAACCUUACCUACUCUUGACAUCCAGAAAAUUUGGCAGAGAUGCCUCAGUGCCUUCGGGACGCAAAACAAGGUGCUGCAUGGUUGUCGUCAGCUCGUGUCGUGAGAUGUUGGGUUAAGUCCCGCAACGAGCGCAACCCUUGUCUUUAGUUGCCAUCAUUUAGUUGGGCACUCUAGAGAAACUGCCGGUGACAAACCGGAGGAAGGUAAGGAUGACGUCAAGUCAGCAUGCCCCUUACGCUCUGGGCUACACACGUGCUACAAUGGUCGUGACAAAGAGUUGCUAGUCUGCGAAGGCAAGCCAAUCUCAUAAACGCGGCCUU